rnacentral:rRNA from 1 species
UGCAGUCGAGCGAGACCUUCGGGUCUAGCGGCGGACGGGUGAGUAACGCGUGGGAACGUGCCCUUUGCUACGGAAUAGUCCCGGGAAACUGGGUUUAAUACCGUAUGUGCCCUUCGGGGGAAAGAUUUAUCGGCAAAGGAUCGGCCCGCGUUGGAUUAGGUAGUUGGUGGGGUAAUGGCCUACCAAGCCGACGAUCCAUAGCUGGUUUGAGAGGAUGAUCAGCCACACUGGGACUGAGACACGGCCCAGACUCCUACGGGAGGCAGCAGUGGGGAAUCUUAGACAAUGGGGGCAACCCUGAUCUAGCCAUGCCGCGUGAGUGAUGAAGGCCUUAGGGUUGUAAAGCUCUUUCAGCUGGGAAGAUAAUGACGGUACCAGCAGAAGAAGCCCCGGCUAACUCCGUGCCAGCAGCCGCGGUAAUACGGAGGGGGCUAGCGUUGUUCGGAAUUACUGGGCGUAAAGCGCACGUAGGCGGACUGGAAAGUUGGGGGUGAAAUCCCGGGGCUCAACCUCGGAACUGCCUUCAAAACUAUCAGUCUGGAGUUCGAGAGAGGUGAGUGGAAUACCGAGUGUAGAGGUGAAAUUCGUAGAUAUUCGGUGGAACACCAGUGGCGAAGGCGGCUCACUGGCUCGAUACUGACGCUGAGGUGCGAAAGCGUGUGGAGCAAAC